CAGGGAACGUGUGCUGAGGCUUUUUAGGGGUGCGGGGCAACUCCCCAACAGCGUGGGGCUCUGGUCGGCUCUGCCACAGCGGCGCAGACCUCCUAAUCUGUCUCUGCGCGUGGCGCACUGCUGGAGACUUGGGUUCAGGGGCGGCGGGGCUGCUUGACCUGGGGUCCUCGAGACCCUAAGCAAGUUCCACUUUAGAUACACCUCACAAUGACCCCUCAGGUCAAGGCCUCAACCCGAAGGCAGCGCCUAAGAAUCGCACUCCCUAGAAUGCUCCAGCACUCACAGGGGCCUUCUCUGGGGUAACGGGACCCCAGCCGGAUACUACAGCUCCAGCUGCUUGCGUCCCAUGCAUCGCCCUCUCGGGAGAGACCAGCUACCUAACUUUCUCUACCAGAGACCGCGCUGGCGUCUCGGGAGGGAUGCUCUGCCCAGGGAGUCCCUCGGUCGCGGGACCUGUGGCCGCCAGAGCAGCUGGAUCUGGAGUGUGCUGCCUGUGAACAGCCUGUGAAAGUGGCUCUUCUCCCUCUGGGUCAGAGGAUGUCUCUGCUCUGGGGGCAAGGGAGUAAACAUCAGCACUUCCCACCUGAAGGAAGCCAUCAGACUCCUUUGCUGUUUCUAGCACUCUUUGUAAGGUCUUUCAGGAGGACUUCAGAAAUCUCCCUGAACGUGCCUGGCUGGGGGUUCCACUCAUGGUUCUAUCCCUAAGCAGGGCUCCU
rnacentral:lncRNA from 1 species